GCGAUUACAACUGUAUUGUUACAGACUUUUUUUCAGAAUGCAAGCAGAGGCUGAAAAAAACUUCUCUUUUUCUGGUAUUUCAUUAUAGUCUAUUAAAAACAAAAUAAUAUGUAUUUUUUAUUUUUAGGAGGAAGAACAAAAGGAUUCUGUAAAGUCACGGUAUGGAUAAGAUGUUUCACAUUGUUGUCUUUGACAAGACAAAUGAGGUUGAAGUUGUGCCUUCAGUCUGGAUUAAAAAUGGAGAGUGCAUGUGGCCUCCAAAUAAGAUAGAUAUAACAAAAGCUGUGAAAUCACAGGAGAGUCCUGGAGAUGACUGGAAGCCCCAUAAGGCCAGAAUUAUUUUCACGUCACAUGAGUUGUUUUGCCACCACUUUCUUCAUUGAAUAGUUAUAAAAAGUUAAAAGUAAUANAAGUAAUAGUUAAAAUUACAGGUUUACAUUGAAAAUUUAUUUUUGUGAUGCUGUUUUUCCAGAUGACUACAAGGAAGCUAGACGUAAACUACCUCUUGCUGUUGAUCACACAGACAUUGAUCAGACCGAUGGAGGAGACUCACCAAUUACAUUUCAAAGAAAAAGAAUACCCAAGUACAUUCUUUUCCCUGGAGAAGACGACGACGAUGAUAAUGCGAUGGAAGAGCACCUGAAAGAACCAAAAUCAAGAAAAGGAAGGUAUUCUAUACCCGAUGCUCCGAAAAUUGCUAGACAUGCCAACAAAUUAGACCCAGGAAAGCCAAACUGCCCUAAGAUCUUCCACAGUACUCUUGACCUCCGCAAUGAUGAGAUGGAAGGCAUUAAAGGAACAAAGUCCAAAAAAAAGAGGUAUGCCUUACCUAAUGCUCCAGUGAUCUCUAGGGAACAGAUUUCUCCUGCAGUAGACAACCUCCACCUUAGUGGCCAAGGCAGAACUGACCUUCGUUCACGCGAUCAUAGCAGUCCUGAUGUUAGCCCACAUGGCCAAAGCAGUCCUCACCUUCGUCCACAUGGCCAAAAGAGUCCCAAUCUUCUCCCAAGUUGCUACAGUCCUGACUUGUAUGCAGAUUGCCACAGCACUCCUGAGAUCCACUCAAGUCAGCAGACCAGCAUUGCUAUGUUAUCCUCAGGCUGGAAUGUUCUCUCCGAGAGUUGUACAUCAAGUAAAUCAAGCACUGAGACCCUUUUAAGCCAAGCCAACGUUGAGGUCAGAAGACUAGCCCAUAAAAGUAAAGAGAUCCAUAAAAAAAGGCACUCCGAACCUUCAAGGCUCCCUCAGCCACACCAGACCACGGACAUCGAGCAAACAUCCAGUCACCAAAUUUGUGAGUAUAUUAGUGUUUAGCCCUUUUCACACAGAGAAUGCACUGAUAGUGUGUCAUGGGAUUAGCCUCAGGAUUGUCUGAUUUUGCUUAAUUCACAUUGCCAGUGAUUUUCCGCAAUCUGUGCUAGAGAUGUGCAACAGUGAUCGAGUACUCGAGUACUCGGCCGUGACAGCGAUGAUCAAUCAUGAAAACGAUGAUCGUGGAAAAAAAAUCUGAUUAGUUACAGCAACACUUUGGGUGGCACCAUGAGCUCUUAUUGUUUAGCUUGCAACAGCAUGAGGUUCAAAUGCAUGGCUUCGAAGUCACAUAGUGAU
ensembl:lncRNA